rnacentral:rRNA from 1 species
AACUCUGUAGCUAGAGCAGCAGGUGCUGUAGCGAAACUCAUUGCAAAAGAGGGUAAAUCGGCCACUUUAAGAUUACCAUCUGGGGAGGUCCGUUUAGUAUCCCAAAACUGCUUAGCAACAGUCGGACAAGUGGGUAAUGUUGGGGUGAACCAAAAAAGUUUGGGUAGAGCCAGAUCUAAGUGUUGGCUAGGUAAACGCCCCGUAGUAAGAGGGGUAGUUAGCUUCCAUUGA